AUGCGGCCUGGCUGGGGAGGGGGGCUGCGUGCGGCCCCGUGCGUGUAGCCCAGGCUUGGUGGCGAGGACCCGGCACCGGGGGCACCCCCCGUCAGCCCCCCCGGGGCUGUGGGUGCCGGGUGCGGGCUCGGCUGGCGUGGGCGCGCCUGGCGCGUUCACGUGGCGCUGCCCGUGCGCGCGUGGGAGGCAGGCCGCGGCGCGGAGGGAGGGGGCUGCCACGCUACCUGCGCCCGCGGCCCCCUCCCCGCGGGGAGGAUGCGCUUUUCAGGCAGCUGCCUGGCUCCUCGCGAGCCGGGGAGCGCGGGAGUGCGUUGCCAAGGCAAUGGGGACCAUCUUACUCAUCCUCCUCGCUAUUGUUAUCCUGCCAGCCCGGAGCAUUCGGGGUUUUGUUCCAGCCUCGCUGUUUACUGGAAGGAGCAUUUCCACCGCCAACCUCCCCUGUCUCCAGGCAACCAGGGUCUCCAGGCCACGUCCCCGCGGCCCCGGGAGCCGCAGCAGCACCUGAAUCCCGCUCCUGGCUCGACCGCGCCGGGGGAAGGCUGGCUUUUGCGGAUUAGCAU
rnacentral:lncRNA from 1 species